AAGUCGUAACAAGGUUUCCGUAGGUGAACCUGCGGAAGGAUCAUUAACAAAUGUCCCAACCCCCCACUUCUGUGAACCGUCUCCCACCUGCCGUGGUGUGUCCUCUGACUGCCGUGGGUGCUGGCAUUCCCUGUAGCAUUCUAAGAGUGAGUGCUACUGAAUGCCGGCACAGUCCUGCUGUAGUCUUGGCCACCACAUUUAUCUACCUACUAGUCUGAUGAGAGAGAGAGAGAGAACAAGCUGAGACUUUAUGAUAACUGAGUAAAGACAACUUUUAGCAACGGAUCUCUAGGCUCUU
rnacentral:misc_RNA from 1 species